rnacentral:ncRNA from 2 species
GAAUAUCGUUGUGGUAGGGGUCCCCGCGACCCCUCGGUAGCGGGCCGCUCGCUGCCGGGGGGCAGGGGUCAAAAGCGAAGCCGGUGAGAGGCCGGCGCUGUCCCGCAACUGUAUCCCCGGGCCCCGACGCGUCGGGGUACCGGGGGAGCCAGGUCGCCUGCCCCUGUCAGUCACCAGCC